rnacentral:rRNA from 1 species
AAUUUUGUACAACGGGGGAAACGCUGAUCCAGCCAUCCCGCGUGUAUGAUGAAGGNCUNNGGGUUNUNAAGUACUUUUGGCCGNNNNNAAAGGGCAUCCCCUAACACGGGAUGAGGCAGACGGUAUCUGCAGAAUAAGCCCGGGCUAACUACGUGCCAACAGCCGCGGUAAUACGAAGGGUGCAAGGGUUAAUCGGAAUUACGGGGUGUAAAGCGUGUGUAGGCGGUUCGGAAAGAAAGAUGUGAAAUCCCAGGGCUCAACCUUGGAACUGCAUUUUUAACUGCCGAGCUAGAGUAUGUCAGAGGGGGGUAGAAUUCCACGUGUAGCAGUGAAAUGCGUAGAUAUGUGGAGGAAUACCGAUGGCGAAGGCAGCCCCCUGGGAUAAUACUGACGCUCAGACACGAAAGCGUGGGGAGCAAACAGG